AGCGGCGGACGGGUGAGUAACACGUGGAUAACCUACCUAUAAGACUGGGAUAACUUCGGGAAACCGGAGCUAAUACCGGAUAACAUAUUGAACCGCAUGGUUCAAUAGUGAAAGGCGGCUUUGCUGUCACUUAUAGAUGGAUCCGCGCCGUAUUAGCUAGUUGGUAAGGUAACGGCUUACCAAGGCAACGAUACGUAGCCGACCUGAGAGGGUGAUCGGCCACACUGGAACUGAGACACGGUCCAGACUCCUACGGGAGGCAGCAGUAGGGAAUCUUCCGCAAUGGGCGAAAGCCUGACGGAGCAACGCCGCGUGAGUGAUGAAGGUCUUCGGAUCGUAAAACUCUGUUAUCAGGGAAGAACAAAUGUGUAAGUAACUGUGCACAUCUUGACGGUACCUGAUCAGAAAGCCACGGCUAACUACGUGCCAGCAGCCGCGGUAAUACGUAGGUGGCAAGCGUUAUCCGGAAUUAUUGGGCGUAAAGCGCGCGUAGGCGGUUUUUUAAGUCUGAUGUGAAAGCCCACGGCUCAACCGUGGAGGGUCAUUGGAAACUGGAAAACUUGAGUGCAGAAGAGGAAAGUGGAAUUCCAUGUGUAGCGGUGAAAUGCGCAGAGAUAUGGAGGAACACCAGUGGCGAAAGGCGACUUUCUGGUCUGUAACUGACGCUGAUGUGCGAAAGCGUGGGGAUCAAACAGGAUUAGAUACCCUGGUAGUCCACGCCGUAAACGAUGAGUGCUAAGUGUUAGGGGGUUUCCGCCCCUUAGUGCUGCAGCUAACGCAUUAAGCACUCCGCCUGGGGAGUACGACCGCAAGGUUGAAACUCAAAGGAAUUGACGGGGACCCGCACAAGCGGUGGAGCAUGUGGUUUAAUUCGAAGCAACGCGAAGAACCUUACCAAAUCUUGACAUCCUUUGACCGCUCUAGAGAUAGAGUCUUCCCCUUCGGGGGACAAAGUGACAGGUGGUGCAUGGUUGUCGUCAGCUCGUGUCGUGAGAUGUUGGGUUAAGUCCCGCAACGAGCGCAACCCUUAAGCUUAGUUGCCAUCAUUAAGUUGGGCACUCUAAGUUGACUGCCGGUGACAAACCGGAGGAAGGUGGGGAUGACGUCAAAUCAUCAUGCCCCUUAUGAUUUGGGCUACACACGUGCUACAAUGGACAAUACAAAGGGCAGCUAAACCGCGAGGUCAAGCAAAUCCCAUAAAGUUGUUCUCAGUUCGGAUUGUAGUCUGCAACUCGACUACAUGAAGCUGGAAUCGCUAGUAAUCGUAGAUCAGCAUGCUACGGUGAAUACGUUCCCGGGUCUUGUACACACCGCCCGUCA
rnacentral:rRNA from 1 species